GACAUGACAGAUGAAAAGGUUGUCAGUAACAACGAAGACGUUGAAGAAGGUAAUACGUCUAAUGCAUCAAAUGAGAGCAAUGGAAAUGACAACGAGGAAGAUAAAAAAGAAUCACCAAAU